AAAAGCUCAAAUUUGAAAUCUGGUACUUUCAGUGCCCGAGUUGUAAUUUGUAGAAUUUGUCUUUGAUUAGGUCCUUGUCUAUGUUCCUUGGAACAGGACGUCAUAGAGGGUGAGAAUCCCGUUUGGCGAGGAURCCUUUUCUCUGUAAGACUUUUUCKAAGAGUCSAGUUGUUUGGGAAUGCASCUCAAAGUGGGUGGUAAAUUCCAUCUAAAGCUAAAUAUUGGCSAGAGACCGAUWGCGAACAAGUACAGUGAUGGAAAGAUGAAAAGAACUUUGAAAAGAGAGUGAAAAAGUWCGUGAAAUUGUUGAAAGGGAAKGGCMUUUGAUCARACAUGGUGUUUUUUGCAUGCACUCKCCUCUCRYGGGCUUGGGCCUCUCAAAAAUUUCACUGGGCCAACAUCAAUUCUGGCAGCAGGAUAAAUCAUUAAGAAUGUAGCUACUUCSGUAGUGUUAUAGCUUUUUGGAAUACUGUUWKCCGGGAUUGASGACUGCSCUUCSGCWASGAUGUUGGCMUMAUGGKKAAAUGCCKCCCGUCUUGAAACACRGACCAAUAGC
rnacentral:rRNA from 1 species